AGGCUGAAGACUUUGCCGGAUUUAGCUGAGAGGUGGUGCAUGGCCGUCGUCAGUUCGUACUGUGAAGCAUCCUGUUAAGUCAGGCAACGAGCCGAGACCCACGCCCACAGUUGCCAGCGUACUCUCUGGAGUGACGGGUACACUGUGGGGACCGCCGCUGCUAAAGCGGAGGAAGGAAUGGGCAACGGUAGGUCAGUAUGCCCCGAAUAUCCCGGGCUACACGCGAGCUACAAUGGUUGGUACAAUGGGUAUCUACCCCCGAAAGGGGACGGGAAUCUCCUAAAACCAAUCUUAGUUCGGAUUGAGGGCUGCAACUCGCCCUCAUGAAGCUGGAAUCCGUAGUAAUCGUGUCUCAAAAUGGCACGGUGAAUAUGUCCCUGCUCCUU
rnacentral:rRNA from 1 species